UACGAAGGGGGCUAGCGUUGUUCGGAUUUACUGGGCGUAAAGCGCAUGUAGGCGGUCUUUCAAGUUAGAGGUGAAAUCCUGGGGCUUAACCCCAGAAUGGCCUUUAAGACUGCAAGACUUGAACACGAUAGAGGACAGCAGAAUUCCCAGUGUAGAGGUGAAAUUCGUAGAUAUUGGGAGGAAUACCGGUUGCGAAGGCGGCUGUCUGGAUCGUUGUUGACGCUGAGAUGCGAAAGCGUGGGGAG
rnacentral:rRNA from 1 species